CGAGCGGGGUUUUCGGACCUAGCGGCGGACGGGUGAGUAAUGCGUAGGAAGCUACCCGAUAGAGGGGGAUACCAGUUGGAAACGACUGUUAAUACCGCAUAAUGUCUACGGACCAAAGUGUGGGACCUUCGGGCCACAUGCUAUCGGAUGCGCCUACGUGGGAUUAGCUAGUUGGUGGGGUAAUGGCUCACCAAGGCGACGAUCCCUAGCUGGUUUGAGAGGAUGAUCAGCCACACUGGAACUGAGACACGGUCCAGACUCCUACGGGAGGCAGCAGUGGGGAAUAUUGGACAAUGGGCGCAAGCCUGAUCCAGCCAUGCCGCGUGUGUGAAGAAGGCCUUCGGGUUGUAAAGCACUUUCAGUAGGGAGGAAGGGUUAAGUGUUAAUAGUACUUAACUUUGACGUUACCUACAGAAGAAGCACCGGCUAACUCUGUGCCAGCAGCCGCGGUAAUACAGAGGGUGCAAGCGUUAAUCGGAAUUACUGGGCGUAAAGCGCACGUAGGCGGUUUUUUAAGUCAGAUGUGAAAGCCCCGGGCUCAACCUGGGAAUUGCAUUUGAAACUGGAAAACUAGAGUGUGUGAGAGGGGGGUAGAAUUCCAAGUGUAGCGGUGAAAUGCGUAGAGAUUUGGAGGAAUACCAGUGGCGAAGGCGGCCCCCUGGCACAACACUGACGCUCAGGUGCGAAAGCGUGGGGAGCAAACAGGAUUAGAUACCCUGGUAGUCCACGCCGUAAACGAUGUCUACUAGCUGUUCGUGACCUUGUGUCGUGAGUAGCGCAGCUAACGCAUUAAGUAGACCGCCUGGGGAGUACGGUCGCAAGAUUAAAACUCAAAUGAAUUGACGGGGGCCCGCACAAGCGGUGGAGCAUGUGGUUUAAUUCGACGCAACGCGAAGAACCUUACCUACUCUUGACAUCUACAGAAGACUGCAGAGAUGCGGUUGUGCCUUCGGGAACUGUAAGACAGGUGCUGCAUGGCUGUCGUCAGCUCGUGUUGUGAAAUGUUGGGUUAAGUCCCGCAACGAGCGCAACCCUUAUCCUUAGUUGCCAGCACG
rnacentral:rRNA from 1 species